rnacentral:rRNA from 1 species
UACGAAGGGGGCUAGCGUUGUUCGGAAUUACUGGGCGUAAAGCGUGCGCAGGCGGCUUCUCAAGUCAGGGGCGAAAGCCCAGAGCUCAACUCUGGAAUUGCCUUUGAGACUGAGUGGCUUGAGUACGAGAGAGGUGAGUGGAAUUCCCAGUGUAGAGGUGAAAUUCGUAGAUAUUGGGAAGAACACCGGUGGCGAAGGCGGCUCACUGGCUCGUAACUGACGCUCAUGCACGACAGCGUGGGGAUCAAACAGG